rnacentral:rRNA from 1 species
UGGGGAAUUGUUCACAAUGGGCGCAAGCCUGAUGACGCAACGCCGCGUGGGGGAUGAAGGUCUUCGGAUCGUAAACCCCUGUCGAAUGGGACGAAAGACUCGCGAGUGAAUACUUCGCGAGAGUGACGGUACCGUUAAAGGAAGCCACGGCUAACUCUGUGCCAGCAGCCGCGGUAAUACAGAGGUGGCAAGCGUUGUUCGGAAUUACUGGGCGUAAAGGGCGCGUAGGCGGCCCUCUAAGUCAGACGUGAAAUCCCCCGGCUUAACCUGGGAACUGCGUCUGAUACUGGAGGGCUUGAGUAUGGGAGAGGGAUGUAGAAUUCCAGGUGUAGCGGUGAAAUGCGUAGAUAUGUGGAGGAAUACCGAUGGCGAAGGCAGCCCCCUGGGCUAACACUGACGCUCAUGCACGAAAGCGUGGGGAGCAAACAGGAUUAGAUACCCCUGUAGUCCCUGAGCGGGCUGGCAAGGCGCAU